UACGUAGGGUGCGAGCGUUGUCCGGAAUUAUUGGGCGUAAAGGGCUCGUAGGCGGUUUGUCGCGUCGGGAGUGAAAACUCAGGGCUUAACCCUGAGCCUGCUUCCGAUACGGGCAGACUAGAGGUAUGCAGGGGAGAACGGAAUUCCUGGUGUAGCGGUGAAAUGCGCAGAUAUCGGGAAGAACACCCGUGGCGAAGGCGGCUCUCUGGGACGGUACUGACGCUGAGACGCGAAAGCGUGGGGAGCGAACAGG
rnacentral:rRNA from 1 species